rnacentral:misc_RNA from 1 species
UUUCCGUAGGUGAACCUGCGGAAGGAUCAUUAAAGAGAAUAUGCCCUUCGGGGUAGAUCUCCCACCCUUUGUUUAUAUUACCUUUGUUGCUUUGGCAGGCCCGUCUUCGGACCACCGGCUUCGGCUGGUCAGUGCUUGCCAGAGGACCCAAAACUCUUAUUAUUAAUGUCGUCUGAGUACUAUAUAAUGGUCAAAACUUUCAACAACGGAUCUCUUGGUUCUG